rnacentral:tRNA from 1 species
UUGCGCUGGGCUACGGCGUUGCUGAAUUGCUGCUGCCAGUGCGCGCGGUUGGCGAUCCAUUGGGUGUUCUGAUCGCCCAGCGCGGUC